CUGAGAUUGUUAGAAUAUCUAGCUUUUGUGACUUUCUUCGUUCUCUCGACGGAAGAUCAGGAAACAAGGAAACAAAUCGGUUUAAACUCACAUUGCUUUCCGUGAGAAGAGUUGACCCGAAGAAAGAGCAGGACGAUUGCGUAGCCUCUUCACGUACCCCGGGUGUAAUUAUUUCGUUUAAAUCACCAUUCUGAGAGAAAUUAUCACAUGUCCAUCAUUUUCUGACUGCUCAUAUUGUGAUUUUUUGAAGGCAGGAAAUCUUAACAGG